rnacentral:ncRNA from 1 species
GCAUUGAGAGGACCGUUCCCUAGUACCAAAGGACCAGGAAGGAUGCACCUUUGAUGUACUAGUUAUCGUGCCCAUGGUAAACAUUGGGUAGCUGAAUGCAAAGCAGAUAACUAUUGAAAGCAUCUAAUAGUAAGCAUAACCCAAGAUGAGUGC